rnacentral:rRNA from 1 species
AGAACGAACGCUGGCGGCAUGCCUAAUACAUGCAAGUCGAACGAACUCUUCGGUGUUAGUGGCGCACGGGUGCGUAACGCGUGGGAAUCUGCCCUUGGUUCGGAAUAACAGUUGGAAACGACUGCUAAUACCGGAUGAUGACGAAAGUCCAAAGAUUUAUCGCCAAGGGAUGAGCCCGCGUAGGAUUAGCUAGUUGGUGAGGUAAAGGCUCACCAAGGCAACGAUCCUUAGCUGGUCUGAGAGGAUGAUCAGCCACACUGGGACUGAGACACGGCCCAGACUCCUACGGGAGCAGCAGUAGGGAAUAGUUGGACAAGUGGGCGAACGACGCGUAGUACACGAGACUA